CCUACGGGAGGCAGCAGUGAGGAAUAUUGGUCAAUGGACGGGAGUCUGAACCAGCCAAGUAGCGUGAAGGAUGACUGCCCGAUGGGUUGUAAACUUCUUUUAUAUGGGAAUAAAAUGUUCCACGUGUGGGAUUUUGUAUGUACCAUAUGAAUAAGGAUCGGCUAACUCCGUGCCAGCAGCCGCGGUAAUACGGAGGAUACGAGCGUUAUCCGGAUUUAUUGGGGUUAACGGGAGCGUAGGUGGAUUGUUAAGUCAGUUGUGAAAGUUUGCGGCGCAACCGUAAAAUUGCAGUUGAAACGGGCAGUCUUGAGUACAGUAGAGGUGGUCGGAAUUCGUGGUGUAGCGGUGACAUGCUUAGAUAUCACGAAGACCUCCGAUUGCGAAGGCAGUUCACUGGACUGCAACUGACACUGAGGCUCGAAAGUGUGGGUAUCAAACAGGAUUAGAUACCCGGGUAGUC
rnacentral:rRNA from 1 species